GACGAACGCUGGCGGCGUGCCUAAUACAUGCAAGUAGAACGCUGAAGAGAGGAGCUUGCUCUUCUUGGAUGAGUUGCGAACGGGUGAGUAACGCGUAGGUAACCUGCCUUGUAGCGGGGGAUAACUAUUGGAAACGAUAGCUAAUACCGCAUAACAAUAGGUGACACAUGUCAUUUAUUUGAAAGGGGCAAUUGCUCCACUACAAGAUGGACCUGCGUUGUAUUAGCUAGUAGGUGAGGUAACGGCUCACCUAGGCGACGAUACAUAGCCGACCUGAGAGGGUGAUCGGCCACAAUGGGACUGGGACACGGCCCAGACUCCUACGGGAGGCAGCAGUAGGGAAUCUUCGGCAAUGGGGGCAACCCUGACCGAGCAACGCCGCGUGAGUGAAGAAGGUUUUCGGAUCGUAAAGCUCUGUUGUAAGUCAAGAACGGGUGUGAGAGUGGAAAGUUCACACUGUGACGUUAGCUUACCAGAAAGGGACGGCUAACUACGUG
rnacentral:rRNA from 1 species